rnacentral:rRNA from 1 species
UCCUACGGGAGGCAGCAGUGGGGAAUUUUCCGCAAUGGGCGAAAGCCUGACGGAGCAAUACCGCGUGAGGGAAGACGGCCUAUGGGUUGUAAACCUCUUUUUUCAGGGAGGAAUUUUAACGUGUACCUGAAGAAUAAGCAUCGGCUAACUCCGUGCCAGCAGCCGCGGUAAGACGGAGGAUGCAAGUGUUAUCCGGAAUCACUGGGCGUAAAGCGUCUGUAGGUGGUUUAUUAAGUUGGGUGUGAAAGCCCCGGGCUCAACCUGGGAACUGCAUCCAAAACUGAUUCACUAGAGUACGAAAGAGGGAGGUAGAAUUCACAGUGUAGCGGUGGAAUGCGUAGAUAUUGUGAAGAAUACCAAUGGCGAAGGCAGCCUCCUGGUUCUGUACUGACACUGAGGUGCGAAAGCGUGGGUAGCGAACAGGAUUAGAUACCCUGGUAGUCCACGCCGUAAACGAUGACAACUAGCUGUUGGGAGACAAUGUCUUUCAGUGGCGCAGCUAACGUUUUAAGUUGUCCACCUGGGGAGUACGGCCGCAAGGCUAAAACUCAAAUGAAUUGACGGA